rnacentral:rRNA from 1 species
GAUGAACGCUAGCGGCAGGCUUAAUACAUGCNAGUCGAGGGGCAGCGGGGGUAUUAAUACCUGCCGGCGACCGGCAAACGGGUGCGGAACACGUACACAACCUUCCUUUAAGUGGGGAAUAGCCCAGAGAAAUUUGGAUUAAUACCCCGUAAAAUUAUAAAGUGGUAUCACUUGAUAAUUAAAGCUCCGGCGCUUGAAGAUGGGUGUGCGUCUGAUUAGGUAGUUGGUGCGGGUAACGGCCCACCAAGCCAACGAUCAGUAACUGGUGUGAGAGCACGACCAGUCACACGGGCACUGAGACACGGGCCCGACUCCUACGGGAGGCAGCAGUAAGGAAUAUUGGUCAAUGGACGCAAGUCUGAACCAGCCAUGCCGCGUGGAGGAUGAAGGUCCUCUGGAUUGUAAACUUCUUUUAUCUGGGAAGAAACCCACUUUUUCUAGAGUGGUUGACGGUACCAGAUGAAUAAGCACCGGCUAACUCCGUGC